rnacentral:rRNA from 1 species
AUUGAACGCUGGCGGCAUGCCUUACACAUGCAAGUCGAACGGUAACAGGUCUUCGGAUGCUGACGAGUGGCGAACGGGUGAGUAAUACAUCGGAACGUGCCUAGUAGUGGGGGAUAACUACUCGAAAGAGUGGCUAAUACCGCAUGAGAUCUACGGAUGAAAGCAGGGGAUCGCAAGACCUUGUGCUACUAGAGCGGCCGAUGGCAGAUUAGGUAGUUGGUGGGAUAAAAGCUUACCAAGCCGACGAUCUGUAGCUGGUCUGAGAGGACGAUCAGCCAGACUGGGACUGGGAAACGGCCCAGACGCCUACGGGAGGCAGCAGUGGGGAAUUUGGGACAAUGGGCGCAAGCCUGAUCCAGCAAUGCCGCGUGCAGGAUGAAGGCCUUCGGGUUGUAAACUGCUUUUGUACGGAACGAAAAGCCCCGGGUUAAUACCCUGGGGUCAUGACGGUACCGUAAGAAUAAGCACCGGCUAACUACGUGCCAGCCGCCGCCGUAA